AACAGAAACGGGAAUAAGAGGUUUGAGUCUGAUCUUAUGGAGGGAAAAGCUAUUCUUCUUUGCCUUAUGGUGCUUGUGCAGCUAGGAAAUUCCGUUCAUGUUGACAAAUGUAGGGCGGUAAUUGCCUUUUCAGGCACCACAUGCAUAGAACUAUCUUGCAUGUUGGCCUGCCAGAAGUCGUUCGGAGAUCACGCCAUAAACUCGGCAUGUAGGCUCGUUAGCCUAGCCACUCUGAAUUGUUACUGCAAGGUCUGUGACUAGAGUUGUACUAAACCAUUGUACGUAUCAAAUAAUGGAUAAUGAUGAGAUCAAGCAAUAAAAUCCUCUUUGUGACAUGCAUGUGAGAAUAUAUAUUGAUCACCGAUUUUGGAUGUUC